AUUGAACGCUGGCGGCAGGCUUAACACAUGCAAGUCGAGCGGAGACUUCGGUCUUAGCGGCGAACGGGUGAGGAAUGCCUGGGAAUCUGCCUGUUAGUGGGGGAUAACGUUCCGAAAGGAACGCUAAUACCGCAUACGUCCUACGGGAGAAAGCAGGGGACCUUCGGGCCUUGCGCUAACAGAUGAGCCCAGGUCGGAUUAGCUAGUUGGUGGGGUAAAGGCUCACCAAGGCGACGAUCCGUAGCUGGUCUGAGAGGAUGAUCAGCCACACUGGAACUGAGACACGGUCCAGACUCCUACGGGAGGCAGCAGUGGGGAAUAUUGGACAAUGGGGGAAACCCUGAUCCAGCCAUGCCGCGUGUGUGAAGAAGGCCUCGGUUGUAAGAC
rnacentral:rRNA from 1 species